rnacentral:rRNA from 1 species
GAUGAACGCUAGCGGCAGGCUUAAUACAUGCAAGUCGAGGGGCAGCACGGUUAGCAAUAACUGGUGGCGACCGGCGCACGGGUGCGUAACACGUAUACAAUCUACCUUAAACAGGGGAUAGCCUUUCGAAAGAGAGAUUAAUACCCCGUAAUAAAUUGAACGGCAUCGUUUGAUUUUGAAAGCUCCGGCGGUUUGAGAUGAGUAUGCGUCUGAUUAGCUAGUUGGUGAGGUAACGGCUCACCAAGGCGACGAUCAGUAGGGGAUCUGAGAGGACUAACCCCCACACUGGUACUGAGACACGGACCAGACUCCUACGGGAGGCAGCAGUAAGGAAUAUUGGUCAAUGGAGGCAACUCUGAACCAGCCAUGCCGCGUGCAGGAUGACGGCCCUAUGGGUUGUAAACUGCUUUUAUACAAGAGAAAACCCUGGUACGUGUACCAGGUUGAUAGUAUUGUAAGAUAAGCAUCGGCUAAACUUCGUGCCAGCAGCCGCGGU